rnacentral:misc_RNA from 1 species
GAUGAAGAACGCAGCGAAAUGCGAUAAGUAAUGUGAAUUGCAGAAUUCAGUGAAUCAUCGAAUCUUUGAACGCACCUUGCACCCUUUGGCAUUCCGAAGGGUAUGCUCGUUUGAGUGUCAUUGUACUCUCACACUCUCCGAUCCUAUGGAUUCGGGGAGCGGUGGACUUGGGUGUUGCUGCCUUUCCUUGUGGCUCACCUCAAAUGUGUCAGUGCACCUCCUGGUUGGACAUAGUACGGCGUGAUAAGUGUCUUCGCCGGCACCUCGCAAGAGGGUGGCCGAUCGGGAGCUCUGUGCUUUCAAACCGUCUUCGGACAAUUUCUGACAACUUGACCUCAAAUCGAGUAGGACUACCCGCUGAACUUAAGCAUAUCAAUAAGCGGAGGA